CAAAGCCUUGGGCGGAAGUUAUUAUGGGGAAGGCACAGGGGAUAUAGUAGUGGACGAAAUGCGUUGUAUUGGUUACGAAAAUGACAUUUCUGAAUGUAAAUCGAGCGACUGGAUGUCUCCAUCGAAUUGCAAUCACAUGGAAGAUGCAUCGGUUGAAUGCAAAACGGAAGUUCGUUUAUCAGAUGGACCCACCAGAUAUGCAGGUCGACUUGAAAUACAGAAUAAUUCUGUUUGGGAAACAGUUUGUUCUGACCUCGUAGAUAACAAGACGGCAGUGGUCGUGUGCAGGAUGCUAGGGUUUGAAGGAGGUAACAUAACUGUUUAUUACGAUGGCCGUUUCAAAAAUGGUAGCGGAUCGAUGAAAUCGCAUGGAUACGACUGUGAAGGGAACGAGACCGAUAUUGCGAAUUGGAAAUCAAC